UACCCCCCCGUCUAACCUUUGCCAUAUACCUUAAUCCCCUGCUCUUCUAUUAGUCCAAGUGUACUUAGGUCCCUUAAAUUCCAUGUCUAUCAUGUAGCAAUUAUUAACCCAAUUUUGAGAUCUCUAUGAGGUAGUGCAUUGGACUUGAGCCCCCCAACUUUUCCUCCUCCUUCAUAAUUAAGUUGAAGUCAACCACAAUGAUCCAUGCUUCCCCAGCUGAGUGCUUCAACCCUUCAAAUUCGUUUAGAAAACUUCUUGCUCUGGUCCCUUCUAGGCUCUCCAUACACGAAGUUAUUAAACCAAUACUCACCCUGAAUUCACCAUGAAUAAAAAGUAUGCACCCAGUAUUUUGAUUUCUUUAGGAUUCUAACCCAUAAGUCAUCCUUCCAAUAUAAUGUUAAACGGCCGCCCCACCCUAUAGGCUCAACAUACUCACCCUGGUCAAAACCUAACAUCCUUUUCUGUUUUUCCAACUAAUAUGUGGAAUUUUUUGUUUCUAAUAAAAACACUAUAAAAGGAUGAUGAACCUGCACCAAGCGCUUAAGGUGUCGAACUUUUAGGGAUCAUCCUAUACCCUAGUAGUUCCAAAAAAUUCCAUUCAUUGAAAAAUGAUGGCUUUUGGCGAGCCACCAGCGCCAUUUCCUUCCUCCCCCUCAAAGCUGCUUCCUUGCCCCUCCUGCACUGCUUCCUAGGUCCUAACCAUUCUCUUCUCACUAGCAUUUCCAUCCUGAAUAUCUUCAAUCCUUACGGACUUCAUUUGCCUGGCCAACUGUUUCAGCUUCUUCUUCUUAA
rnacentral:lncRNA from 1 species